rnacentral:rRNA from 1 species
CACGUAGUUAGCCGUGGCUUUCUGAUCAGGUACCGUCAAGACGUGCACAGUUACUUACACGUUUGUUCUUCCCUGAUAACAGAGUUUUACGAUCCGAAGACCUUCAUCACUCACGCGGCGUUGCUCCGUCAGGCUUUCGCCCAUUGCGGAAGAUUCCCUACUGCUGCCUCCCGUAGGAGUCUGGACCGUGUCUCAGUUCCAGUGUGGCCGAUCACCCUCUCAGGUCGGCUACGUAUCGUUGCCUUGGUAAGCCGUUACCUUACCAACUAGCUAAUACGGCGCGGAUCCAUCUAUAAGUGACAGCAAGGCCGUCUUUCACUAUUGAACCAUGCGGUUCAAAAUCUUAUCCGGUAUUAGCUCCGGUUUCCCGAAGUUAUCCCAGUCUUAUAGGUAGGUUAUCCACGUGUUACUCACCCGUCCGCCGCUAACGUCAAAGGAGCAAGCUCCUUAUCUGUUCGCUCGACUUGCAUGUAUUAGGCACGCCGCCAGCGUUCAUCCUGAGCCAGGAUA